GACGUAGGUGGCGAGCGUUGUUCGGAAUCACUGGACAUAAAGCGCACGUAGGCGGCCAAGUCAGUCAGGUGUGAAAUACCUCGGCUCAACCGAGGAACUGCGCCUGAUACUGCUUGGCUUGAGGUCCGGAGGGGAGAGUGGAAUUCCCGGUGGAGCGGUGAAAUGCGUAGAGAUCGGGAAGAACGCCGGCGGCGAAAGCGACUCUCUGGUCGGAAUCUGACGCUGAGGUGCGAAAGCUAGGGGAGCAAACGGG
rnacentral:rRNA from 1 species